CACACGGGAAAAAAUCUGAUCCCAUUAUCAUGAUUUACGAAUCAUGAAAAUUAUAAAUUGCUCUUGGGACGAAAUCAUGAUUCAGACUCAUGAUUUUUGAAGCUGAGCUACCACUAUCAUGAUUCAGAGCAACCAUUUUCAUGAGCUCCAAAUCAUGACCAUGAAAAGCGUUACGCACACGGUGCACCUGUCAAAACGUGUUUAGCAAAGCUUGUGCAAAGCAUAGUUGGCUGCGCAUUCACGGAAAAGUUGCCCUUUUUUUUUUAAAAAAAAAGUUCACUUUUAUUGCCGGUUUCCUGCGCCGCUGUUGCUCUACUGUCGUUCCUGCUCUACUAUUCCGUUCCUGCUCCAUUGAUAUCGAGCUAUUCCGGCUCUGCAGAACUACCGCCGUUUCAUUCUGUUCCUUUCCUGCCGUGGCUGUUGCCCGUUCCGGCUCCUGUGUACCCGUUCCGGCUCCGCAUUGAGGGAAAAUUCUUCCGGCUCCGCUCUACUAACUACCGCCGUUUUAUUGUCCCAGUGCCACUGUCGCUAUUCCUGCCGCGGCUGUUGCCGUCCAAUAGGUGCAUCCGUUCCGGCUCCGCAUUGAGUGACAGCAAUAAUGAAGCUUUAACCCCGGCGGAUGGCGUUUGUGACAAUUUCAUCAAAGGCAAGUUCUGGCAACAGAAGAUAAAGGAACGGCCGAAUGAAAUUUGCGUUCCAUACUUCAUUUUUACUGAUUCCUUUGAGAUUAACAAUCCUUUGGGCUCAAAAGCUGGAAAACAAGCGCUCACUGGGUUUUAUCUCAAUUUUCCAAGCCUGCCCAGACACCU